rnacentral:lncRNA from 1 species
AUGAUAUUAAUUGAAUAUAUUCUAAUUAGUGGUUUGAUUUCAGGUUUGCAAAAAUACUGUCUCAGGAGAGGAGGCUCCGUGAGAUGAGAUCCCCACACACUACAAAGAAUAAGAAACCCCUCGUCUUCUAGUUCUCUUCAUCAUUCUAUAUUGUUCUUUCUCUUAUCUUUCUUCUCUUCUGUCACAUUUCUUAAUACAGUUCAUGUAUUUUUGUUUAGGGUUUAUUCAAUAUGAUGUAACUCCACUUCAGGGGGCUAGCUACUUUAUUCUUAUACUUUUGCUUUUACUUAAUCAACUGAUAUAAUAUAGAUUCUAUAUUAAUUAAUUC